GCCUGGGUGGCUCAGUUGGUUGAGCGUCUGACUUCGGCUCAGGUCAUGAUCUUGCGGUUCGCGGGUUCGAGCCCCGCGUCGGGCU